rnacentral:miRNA from 1 species
AUGACCUGUAUGUAUUUAUUUACUUAUUUCUGUGUGUGCAGACCCAUGCACAUACGCAUGUAUACACGGAUGCAUACA